rnacentral:rRNA from 1 species
GUCGGGAAUUUUGGGCAAUGGGCGAAAGCCUGACCCAGCAACGCCGCGUGAAGGAUGAAAUCCCUCGGGAUGUAAACUUCGCAAGAACAGGAAGAAUAAGUAAGGGUUAAUAUCUCUUACGAUGACGGUACUGUUUGUAAGCUCCGGCUAACUCCGUGCCAGCAGCCGCGGUAAUACGGGGGGAGCAAGCGUUGUUCGGAUUUACUGGGCGUAAAGGGCGCGUAGGCGGCCACUGCAAGUCGGUUGUGAAAUCUCCGGGCUUAACCCGGAAAGGUCAAUCGAUACUGCAGGGCUAGAGUGCAGAAGGGGCAACUGGAAUUCUCGGUGUAGCGGUGAAAUGCGUAGAUAUCGAGAGGAACACCUGCGGCGAAGGCGGGUUGCUGGGCUGACACUGACGCUGAAGCGCGAAAGCUAGGGGAGCGAACGGGAUUAGAUACCCGUGUAGUCC